CUCUGCCCUAUCAACUUUCGAUGGUAGGGUAGUGGCCUACCAUGGUUUCAACGGGUAACGGAGAAUUAGGGUUCGAUUCCGGAGAGGGAGCCUGAGAAACGGCUACCACAUCCAAGGAAGGCAGCAGGCGCGCAAAUUACCCAAUCCCGACACGGGGAGGUAGUGACAAUAAAUAAUGAUACAGGGCUCUUUUGGGUCUUGUAAUUGGAAUGAGUACAAUUAAAUCCCUAA
rnacentral:rRNA from 1 species